rnacentral:rRNA from 1 species
UACGGGGGGGGGCAAGCGUUGUUCGGAAUUACUGGGCGUAAAGGGCGCGUAGGCGGUCUACUAAGUUGGAUGUGAAAACUCUGGGCUUAACCCAGAGCCUGCAUUCAAAACUGAUAGGCUGGAGUUCUGGAGGGGAUAGCGGAAUUCCUGGUGUAGCGGUGAAAAUGCGUAGAUAUCAGGAGGAACACCGGUGGCGAAGGCGGCUAUCUGGACAGAAACUGACGCUGAGGCGCGAAAGCUAGGGGAGCAAACGGG